rnacentral:rRNA from 1 species
GACGAACGCUGGCGGCGUGCUUAACACAUGCAAGUCGAACGGAAAGGCCCUGCUUUUGUGGGGUGCUCGAGUGGCGAACGGGUGAGUAACACGUGAGUAACCUGCCCUUGACUUUGGGAUAACUUCAGGAAACUGGGGCUAAUACCGGAUAGGAGCUCCUGCUUCAUGGUGGGGGUUGGAAAGUUUCGGCGGUUGGGGAUGGACUCGCGGCUUAUCAGCUUGUUGGUGGGGUAGUGGCUUACCAAGGCUUUGACGGGUAGCCGGCCUGAGAGGGUGACCGGCCACAUUGGGACUGAGAUGCGGCCCAGACUCCUACGGGAGGCAGCAGUGGGGAAUAUUGCACAAGGGGCGGAAGCCUGAUGCAGCACCGCCGCGUGCGGGAUGACGGCCUUCGGGUUGUAAACCGCUUUCGCCUGUGACGAAGCGUGAGUGACGGUAAUGGGUAAAGAAGCACCGGCUAACUACGUG